CCUACGGGAGGCAGCAGUAAGGAAUAUUGGUCAAUGGAGGCAACUCUGAACCAGCCAUGCCGCGUGCAGGAAGAAGGCCCUAUGGGUCGUAAACUGCUUUUGUACCAGAGAAAACCCGAGUACGUGUACUCGGUUGAUAGUAUGGUAAGAAUAAGCAUCGGCUAACUUCGUGCCAGCAGCCGCGGUAAGACGAAGGAUGCAAGCGUUAUCCGGAUUCAUUGGGUUUAAAGGGUGCGUAGGCGGACUGAUAAGUCAGUGGUGAAAUCUCUCGGCUUAACCGAGAAACUGCCAUUGAUACUGUUAGUCUAGAGUAUAGAUGACGUUGGCGGAAUAUGACAUGUAGUGGUGAAAUACUUAGAUAUGUCAUAGAACACCGAUUGCGAAGGCAGCUAACGAAACUAUAACUGACGCUGAGGCACGAAAGUGCGGGGAUCAAACAGGAUUAGAUACCCUGGUAGUCCGCACCGUAAACGAUGAUUACUCGUUGUUGGCAAUAUGACCGUCAGCGACCAAGCGAAAGCGAUAAGUAAUCCACCUGGGGAGUACGCCGGCAACGGUGAAACUCAAAUGAAAUUGACGG
rnacentral:rRNA from 1 species